AACGCACGAGACCUGCGGACCUGCGGAAGGAUCAUUAAUGAGAAGCUGCCCCUCGUGGGUAGACCUCCCACCCUCUGUGAACUUACCUUUGUUGCUUUGGCAGGCCCGUCCUCUGGACCGCCGGCUUCGGCUGGCCCGUGCCUGCCAGAGGAUUCCAAACCCUGUCUGUCAGUGUUGCCUGAGUCUAUAUGAAAUCGUUAAAACUUUUAGCAAUGGAUCUCUAGAUCGGAAGAGCACACG
rnacentral:misc_RNA from 1 species